AUUGAACGCUGGCGGCAGGCCUCACACAUGCAAGUCGAACGAGUGGCGGACGGGUGAGUAAUGUCUGGGAAACUGCCUGAUGUAGGGGGAUAACUACUGGAAACGGUAGCUAAUACCGCAUAACAUCAGAUGUGCCCAGAUGGGUUUAGCUAGUUGGUGGGGUAACGGCUCACCAAGGCGACGAUCCCUAGCUGGUCUGUGCGGAUGACCAGCCACACUGUAAGUGAGACACGGUCAAGACGCCUACGGUGGGCAGCAGUGGGGAAUAUUGCACAAGGGGCGCAAUCCUGAUGCAGCCAUGCCGCGUGUAUGAAGAAGGCCUUCGGGUUGUAAAGUACUUUCAGCGGGGAGGCGUUAUCCGCAGAAGAAGCACCGGCUAACUCCGGGCCAGAAGCCGCGGUAAUGC
rnacentral:rRNA from 1 species